AAUGGCCUACCAAGGCUACGACGGGUAGCUGGUCUAAGAGGAUGGCCAGCCACACUGGAACUGAGACACGGUCCAGACUCCUACGGGAGGCAGCAGUGGGGAAUCUUGCGCAAUGGGCGAAAGCCUGACGCAGCGACGCCGCGUGGGUGACGAAGGCCUUCGGGUUGUAAAGCCCUGUGGGGUAGAACGAACUGGCAUCGGGCUAAUAUCCCGGUGUCUUGACGGUACUGCCUUAGCAAGCAUCGGCUAACUCUGUGCCAGCAGCCGCGGUAAGACAGAGGAUGCGAACGUUGCUCGGAUUUACUGGGCGUAAAGCGCGUGUAGGCGGUCUCGUUAGUCGGGUGUGAAAGCCCCGGGCUCAACCCGGGAAGUGCACCCGAUACUGCGAGACUGGGGUACUGAAGAGGAGAGCGGAAUUCCCGGUGUAGAGGUGAAAUUCGUAGAUAUCGGGAGG
rnacentral:rRNA from 1 species